CCUGCACGUUCUGCACAUGUACCCCAGAACUUAAAGCAUAAUAAUUUUUUAAGGAAAUAAAUAUAUGAGUGAUUUUACCUAAAAAAGUAGCAAAACAGUGAGUCACAGAAAAAAAAAUUAAAAGCAGGCUGAAACUUACACUAUUUUUAACAACUAAAACAAAGCCUGCCCUCCUACAUUCUAUGAAAUUGAAACGACUCUGUCCCAUGUACAGAGCAUCUACGAAGGCUAUGGGAAGUGACCACGUCACAAGCAGGUUGCUGACGGGGGCGGGGGGAGAGGGCGAGGAAGCCUUACAGAAAAAGCUACCACCACGAUUUCUGUCUGAGCCAACCAUGUGCCUCAGACUUCUCUGCUGUGUGGCCCUUUCUUUCUGGGGAGCAGCCUCCACGGACACCAAGGUCACCCAGAGACCUAGACUUCUGGUCAAAGCAAACGAACAGAAAGCAAAGAUCGAUUGCGUUCCUGUAAAAGGACAUAGUUAUGUUUACUGGUAUCGUAAGAAGCUGGACGAAGAGCUCAAGUUUUUGAUUUACUUUCAGAAUGAGGAAAUUAUUCAGAAAGCAGAAAUAAUCAAUGAGCGAUUUUCAGCCCAAUGCCCCCAAAACUCACCCUGUACCUUGGAGAUCCAGUCCACGGAGUCAGGGGACGCAGCACUGUAUUUCUGUGCCAGCAGCAAAGCCACAGUGCCAAACGUUAGCCCUUCUUAGAACACAAACUCCUUAUG